rnacentral:rRNA from 1 species
AACAGGAUUAGAUACCCUGGUAGUCCACGCCGUAAACGAUGAUAACUAGUUGUCCGGGCUCAUAGAGCUUGGGUGACGCAGCUAACGCAUUAAGUUAUCCGCCUGGGGAGUACGGUCGCAAGAUUAAAACUCAAAGGAAUUGACGGGGGCCUGCACAAGCAGUGGAGCAUGUGGUUUAAUUCGAAGCAACGCGCAGAACCUUACCAGCCUUUGACAUCCUAGGACGACUUCUGGAGACAGAUUUCUUCCCUUCGGGGACCUAGUGACAGGUGCUGCAUGGCUGUCGUCAGCUCGUGUCGUGAGAUGUUGGGUUAAGUCCCGCAAUGAGCGCAACCCUCGUCCUUAGUUGCCAUCAUUCAGUUGGGCACUUUAAGGAAACUGCCGGUGAUAAGCCGGAGGAAGGUGGGGAUGACGUCAAGUCCUCAUGGCCCUUAUGGCCAGGGCUACACACGUACUACAAUGGUCGGUACAGAGGG